rnacentral:rRNA from 1 species
UACGAAGGGGGCUAGCGUUGCUCGGAAUCACUGGGCGUAAAGCGCACGUAGGCGGAUUGUUAAGUCGGGGGUGAAAUCCUGGAGCUCAACUCCAGAACUGCCUUCGAUACUGGCGAUCUUGAGUCCGGGAGAGGUGAGUGGGAACUCCGAGUGUAGAGGUGAAAUUCGUAGAUAUUCGGAAGAACACCAGUGGCGAAGGCGGCUCCACUGGCCCGGUACUGACGCUGAGGUGCGAAAGCGUGGGGAGCAAACAGG